rnacentral:rRNA from 1 species
UACGUAGGGCGCAAGCGUUGUCCGGAAUUAUUGGGCGUAAAGAGCUCGUAGGCGGUCUGUCACGUCGGAUGUGAAAGCCCGGGGCUUAACCCCGGGUCUGCAUUCGAUACGGGCAGACUAGAGUGUGGUAGGGGAGAUCGGAAUUCCUGGUGUAGCGGUGAAAUGCGCAGAUAUCAGGAGGAACACCGGUGGCGAAGGCGGAUCUCUGGGCCAUUACUGACGCUGAGGAGCGAAAGCGUGGGGGGAGCGAACAGG